rnacentral:lncRNA from 1 species
AGAGAUUUUUGAAAUCUGCUUCGGACUCAAUGAUGGUUAAGGUGACAAAGUCAUCACCGGUGCAGUGAAUGAAGGGUUUGUGGGGUGGUGGUGGACAGAGGAGGUUUCCAGCGAGAGGGAAGAAGUGUUGAAGGGUUUGAGAGAGAGAGGUUUUGAGACAAGGAAGUAUGGUUUCACAGAAAUGGAGUGUGGAGUGGGGGAAGUGAUAGAAGAAUUGGCGUCUCACAUAAAUAGGACCUGCUAAAGGCAAAUCAAGGAAUGUGAGGGGAAGAGUGGUGAUUGUUCUCACUGCUGGACCAACCUGAAAUUUUUCUACAAGUUUGUGUUCUCUAAGAACUACCAUUUUCUUGGAUGGUAUAUUUCUGAAAAAUAUGAAAGAAACUUAGGUGAAGAAGCUAGCAUGUUUAAGAGAUGCAAUGUAUGUAUCUAUAUAUAAGUUCUGUCAUCUUUUCGUGUUUGAUGGAUUAAAGUAGAAACUAGAAAUUUAAAGUAAACUUGUCCACGAAACGCGUAUAUUCCAUGUCUAUAUGACAAAUAAUUCUGAUACAUAUAUAUGUCCUACAUCAAGUUUUUAUUUGACUCUUGAGAAGAAGAAAAAAACGAUCCUUUUUAUUUUUAUUUUUAUCGGUCAGUUAUUAUUAAAUUAUUAAUUUUUAUUAAUGAAAAAAAAUCGAAUUGAUAAUUUAUUUGUUAUCUUUUUUUUCUUCUUUAAUAACCACUAAGUCUUCGGUUACUCUCCGGAUGAUCUUAAAAACAAUCAAAGAAGUCUUUUAAGUUAAUUCCAUAAAUGCGGAGAAACUUCCAAUUACUAUUUGCCCAUAUGAAAAACUGAUUAUUCAACUGUUUAUUUGUCCCUGUUUUGUAUGUUUAUUGUCAGUGAUAAGAUGUUAAUCCUAAAAUUGUAGCUUUUACAUCGCUAAUUAAGAAUUAGGCUCGUGGACUUUUUCCUAGAACGCAACUUAUUUAUUUUUUAUUUUUGAAAGGAAAGGCAACUUUAUUUCUAAUCAGUUGUUUUCAUAUAACCGACUAGCACGAAACCACAUUGGUUCUUAUCACUAAAUAAGCACCGAUUUUGACAAAUAAAAUUAAUUAAUAUAAAGAUGUUAGUUUUUCUUCAAUACAAGUUCUACGCAAGUGGUUGGAAGGAACUAGGUAAUUUUUUUAAUAUAAAAUGAUUCAGUCGAAGUCAUCAUGUUUGUCUACUAAUGAUUUGGGGUCUUGUUCUUCUUUCUGUGCUCCACUAGCUACGGCAAGAUCGUAGGAAACUCAUAAAGGGUUUUGUGAUUUAAGAUUAAAAAAAAAGUAAUUAAGUUAUAAAAUAAUAACUUAAAUAUGUUUUUUUUUUUUUUAAAAAAAAUAUGUGAUUUUUAUGUUUGUUAUAUAAUAAUUUUUUUUAUUGAAUCUCUAAUAAAAUAAUAAUUUUAUUUUUCAUUAGGAAUAUUCUUUUCUUAUAAAUUAACGAAUUUUAUAUUUAUUUUUAUAAUAUUUUUAAAUUUUUUAUUAGUCAAAAUUAAAAUAAAAUUUAUUAAUUUAUGAGAGAAAAAACAUAAAAUUUAUUAAUUUAUCAGAGGUUAAAAUAAAAUUAUUAUUUUAUUAAAAACUUAAUACAAAACAAAAAAUUGUUAAAAAAAACAAACACAAAAAUUGAAUGCUUAUUAGAAAUUAAAAAUAUUUUUAAGCCUAAAAUUAUUUAAUAAUUAUUUUUAAGAUAUUCUAAAAGAGUUUAAUGAAUAUUAUUGAGAAAACAAAAACUUAUACGGUGAACUAAUUAGAAAUUAACGUUAAGAUAAUUAUUGUUGUAAAAUAAAUAAAUUUAUUAUAAAUAAUAGUUUAUAAUUAGAUGAUAGUAUAUUUUACCUUAUCAAUUCAAAACUUAUUUUAUUUUGUAGAAAGUACGUACAGCCUACUUUAUGUUUGUUUACAUCUACAAUUUUUUUUAAAGUUGAUUUUAUGAUAAACUAAUUAAAAUUAACAAAUUUUGAUUUUAAUUAGAUUUUUUUAACUUCUGAUUAUUUUAAAAAGGUGAAACAAAACCCUAUAUCAUGGAUAGACAACCGAGUCAAACUUAGUCAUAAGUCAAAACUAAUCACCCAGUACCUAGUUAAAUUUAGCCACAGACAACACAAUCACCGAACACCUAAUCAAACUUAAUUAGGAACAAAACCUAGUAUUAGGUAUUGUAAUCACGGGCCAAAAUGAAGUACUAGACACCUAAUCAACCUUAGCAAUGAACAAAAACAUGGACCGAUCACCAAGCCAAACUUAACCAUGUGAAAAACUAAAAAAAGUGAUUCUUUUACAAAUGAAAUUAUAACAAAGGGCCCAAAAUUAAACACAAAUAUACGAUUUGAAUUUUAAAAUAUUUUAGAAGAUGAGUUAGAUCCUAAACCCAAAUUUAAUAUGAUAUCAUAAUCUAUUGUAGUCAUUAUUGUUGGAUGAUUCGCAUUGCACUCCAGGUCAGUAAUUAUGUGCGGAAUGAAAUGUGUUAAACUUCCUGUGAACACUUUUGACCUGAAUCUCAGUUUACGACCUCAUGUAACUUUAUUAUGAUAAGAGUAAGGGCUAGGGGUAGGUAUAGUCUCACAUAUAUUAGAUAUAUAACUUAAUUAAAUAAAGCUUCUAAAGCUUGGAUAAUCCGCAUUGCACAAACUAGAGCUUGUAAAAAGAACUCUUAUCUUAGUUUAUUUAUACAUGGAAGAACGUUGUCUCACCAUCACCAAUCUUUAACCAGUCACAACUCACAACAGACUUUGUGGUAUAAGAGGGACUCUGAUCUUGAACCAAGAUUGCAUUGUCCUAUCCCCAAAAAGCUAUCUCCGCAUCCUCUAAAGCUUUGUACUAUGCCUCCCAGCCAAACAAUAAAAUAACCUUAUUGUCACCUAAUUAACUAACCUAAGACCUAACAAUGUUAUUCACCUUCAGAAAAACGUCUUUAAAAUCAUCCAUUAGAAAUGAAACAAAACAAGAUAAAUCACCAAAUUGUACUAAACAUAAAAUUCAAACAUCCUUAUUACAGAUUGGGAAGCUAAUUAAAAUCAACGCUAACAUGUUGACUAAUCAACUUCUUUUAUAGACCUUAGCUUUCUUAUAAUAAGAUGUCACAUGAAUAAAAUUAUGAUUUCGAAACUCCAAGUCCUUGUUCAAUAACAGAAUUUAAAUAUUCAAUUUCUGUACUUGUGCACACCAAGCCAACCUCAAGUCCUCCUUCUUCAUCUCCACUUUCAGCUAGAGACAUACCCUUGAAGGAAUGUACCAUUUCCACUUUGGUAGGCCUUCCAAAUCCAAAAUCAGUCUCAUAAACACCGAACUUGGGUGACCCUGUAACCAUCAAGAUAGUUUCCAACACAAACAUCUUCGUAAAAGAUUCCCUCCAAUUUUCUGCAUCUUUAAAGAGAUCACUUUUUAAAUCAGUUACUUCCUUUUCAAUGAGCUUGACCGCAUUAAGAAAACCCCCUUCUCCCUUGAGGUCCUUUCUCUUGAGCAUUGCUGAACAUAGGGUUAAGCAGUUUCCAAAGUAAGUUUUUGGCACAGGAUGCUCAAGGCGAUCUCUGCAAUUUGCACCGAAAAAAAAGUAAUCCUCUUGGACAUCAUCUUCAGCAUCAUUUCUGCAUCUUGUUUUAACCAUACAAACCCACACAAAAGCACAUGUCACCACGAAUUUUGAUAGAUAUUGUGGCGUGAUGAAUUCGUCACUGUUCUUCCACUGAUUCAGCACCCAUAUUCUCAGCCCCUCGAUGUCAUCUCUUCCAAAAACAAUCGUUGCUUUGAAAUAAUCUUCAUUUCCACCAGCAAUCUCAGAAGUUUUACCAAUGAGUUUGUCCUUCCAAGUUGACCUAUUUUCUAAAUAAUAUCUCAAGAAGAUGGCUUCGAGUCCUUUGGGGUCCUUCAAUACUUCCCUAUCAAAGCACGGUGGUGACUUCUCCACAAGAGUAAAGUCAACUCCACCACUUCGACAAAUGGAGGACCAAGACUUCAUGAAAUGGCUGCAACAACUAUCAUCCAUCACGUGGCAAUACGUGAUCGCGAUGCAAAGGCCAUGGUUGGGGAAAACCGUGGCUUGCAAUGCCACCAAGGGAAAAACAAACGUGCCAUCAUGUGUGUUUGUGCAUGUUAACUUUGGAACCAAGUGAUCCAAGUCUUUGAUGCUUUUGGGGUGGUUGGAAGAGAGAUGGUUGAAAUCUGCUUCAGACUCGAUGAUGGUUAAGGUGACAGAGUCAUCAUCGGUGGAGCGAAUGAAGGGUUUGUGGGGUGUUGGUGGACAGAUGAGAUUUCCAGCGAGAGGGAAGAAGUGUUGAAGGGUUUGAGAGAGAGAGGUUUUGAGACAAGGAAGUAUGGUUUCACAGAAAUGGAGUGUGGAAUUGGGGAAGUGAUAGAAGAAUUGGCGUCUCACAUAAAUAGGACCUGCUAAAGGCAAAUCAAGGAAUGUGAGGGGAAGAGAGGUUGUUGUUCUCACUGCUGG